GUGAAUCAUCGAAUCUUUGAACGCAAAUUGCACUCUCCUCGGAGAGUAUGCCUGUUUGAGGGUCAGCCUAUAAAAAUCGACAUCGUUGCUGUUUCGCGGUGGCGUUCGUCGGAAAUUGGGCCAUCUUAAAUCCUUUUGUUUUAAGCGCCUUAAAAUUUUCUUUUGUUUCCUUGAACGUUUUUAGGAUCUAUUUCUUUACAGGUUUAGGUUAUCGAUUUUUCUUAGCCGUGACAAUAAUAUCGAA
rnacentral:misc_RNA from 1 species